AUGGCGGGGGAGCCCUCUCCGUCAGCACCUGGAAGCAAAACUUCGGCUUGCUUGGAGACUCCAGCUAUACAUUAGAACCAUGGUUCCUGACACCAGUGCCCGGACGACCAGCUCGUGGCACCCCUGAUAACCACUACAACAAGGCCCACACCGCCAUGCGCAAUGUUGUGGAGUGGUGCAUCGCUGUAAGCUUGUGCACAGCUGCUCAAGCAUCAUUGCUGCUUGUGCAGCUCUGCACGACAUUGCGUUGGCGGCACAUGAGCCUGUUCCCGAAGGAAACGAUGACGACACCGACGAUGCUGACUGGUGCCAGCAGCAGCUGAGCUACCACCACCACCACAACGGGAGCCAGCAGCAGCGCAACCAUGUAGUGAACCUGUUUCGAGAACCACAGGGCCUGCAUGCUUGAGCACCUGCGCAGAGUACGCCGCCGCCUGCAACGACCUCGGCAGCAUUGUGUGGUGCCUUCCGCUGCAAUGAGGGCCCGGGCGAGGGUACCAACGUCUUGCAAUUUGUGGACCGCGUCACCGAGAAGUUGAACCUGGCGCAGCUUUCCAAUGAUGCCUGGCCCUGCCGCCUGGUGUUUGCGGCUAGUAACUCCAGCGCCUCGGCCUGCCGGUUGCCCCCAUCUCGCAGCUGCGGCAUGAGCUGGAAACCAAGAAAUGUGUUGCCAUUAUCAUCUAUAAAUUUCCUGCUACCGACUCUUCGCUGGAAGCUUCUGUUCGUGAAGAGUUUCAGUGUGUGCAACAAUUUCCUCUCUGUUGAAAAUCCACUGACCCAACGGCAUCCAUGAAUGGUGCUUGGUUCACCGCACAACCAACGCACUUCGUUUGGACAGACCAAAGCGGUGCCGGAAUUAAUUUUCGCUCAUCUCAUCAAACGCAUCUUACGCCUCUAACCACCUCUGCAUGAGAAGCAACCAAACAGCCCUUUUCAGGGCUACACAAUCGUUUGCCCGGCUUUACGCGAUGACUGACACAAUCUCCUUCCGAAACCCUAGCUGCUGCAGUAUGCAAAACAUACAGCAAGCAGGUGUAACACAGGUGCAAACAUGUACAUUUGUGUAUGAUGGCUAUGUGAAAAAGUUAUAUAACGAGCUUGCUUUUUGAACAGUAUAUUUAGCAAUAGCACAUUUUCAGUUUCACUUUUGAAGCAAUUGACAAAAUAGGGAAACAUUUCAAGAUGUUGAACAUUUUUGCAAUGCUACCUUUUUGCUACAUUUCACCAUAACUGCAAGGCAGGACACCUGUUUAUUCCAUCUGACAGUUAUGCAUAGAACUAGCUCCUGCAACCGUUUGCCAAAUUUUUUUUGUGCAGCCUUUUGUCUUUAUGCCCACAGAUGUCAUCUCUUCACAAACAUAUGCCUGCACGCAUGAGCAUCACCUGUGAGCAUGUAACACCAUCUACAGUUAAUCAAAAACAUCAGCGAAACUUACGAGUUGGGGCACGGGAAAGAUCCUGGGCCACAUCCUCUUCAGCCACACCAGUAGCAGCUGGAGCAGGGCUCACCUGUUAUAGUAAGAAGUUUCUUGAUUGACACACUGAGUGCAAUAAGAAGUAUGGAGUGGAAGUGGACAAUAGCAAUGUUUUUUUAGAAUGUUUCAAC